CCUUACUCCAAAGCUUCUCGGCCUCUCUACAAUCUGCUGUGUCUAGAUUGGGAUUUUGAAGAAGAAGGUGACUAAUGGGUCUCGGCUUAAAAAGGGGUUUCAUAUGGGAAUGCGGUGGUAGAGAUGCUUAGAACCCCGAAUCAAGAAACAACAUGAUAGUAUACUCUCUCAAAACAGUGGUCUAUCUCCUCACCAACCGGAAUUCCUUUACUAGGUAAGCAAUAAAAUAUUCGAGAUGAA